rnacentral:rRNA from 1 species
AUGGCGGACGGGUGAGUAACGCGUAAAGAACUUGCCUUAUGGACUGGGAUAACAGUUGGAAACGACUGAUAAGACUGGAUAUAAUUAAUUAAUUGCAUGAUUGAUUAAUGAAAAGAGAUGCCAUAAGAGAGCUUUGCGUCCUAUUAGUUAGUUGGUGAGGUAAAGGCUCACCAAGGCGAUGAUAGGUAGCCGGCCUGAGAGGGUGAACGGCCACAAGGGGACUGAGAUACGGCCCUUACUCUUACGGGAGGCAGCAGUGGGGAAUAUUGGACAAUGGAGGAAACUCUGAUCCAGCAAUUCUGUGUGCACGAAGAAGGUUUUCGGAUUGUAAAGUGCUUUCAGUUGGGAAGAAAAAAAUGACGGUACCAACAGAGGAAGUGACGGCUAAAUACGUGCCAGCAGCCGCGGUAAUACGUAUGUCACAAGCGUUAUCCGGAUUUAUUGGGCGUAAAGCGCGUCUAGGCGGCUAUGUAAGUCUGAUGUGAAAAUGCGGGGCUCAACUCCGUAUUGCGUUGGAAACUGUGUAGCUAGAGUAUCGGAGAGGUAAGCGGAACUACAAGUGUAGAGGUGAAAUUCGUAGAUAUUUGUAGGAAUGCCGAUGGGGAAGCCAGCUUACUGGACGAAUACUGACGCUAAAGCGCGAAAGCGUGGGUAGCAAACAGGAUUAGAUACCCUGGUAGUCCACGCCGUAAACGAUGAUUACUAGGUGUUGGGGGUCGAACCUCAGCGCCCAAGCUAA